rnacentral:lncRNA from 1 species
UGGGCUGGAAAGUGAAGAGGCUUGGCUUCAAGAUGGAUGCCAAGAAGGCAGGGGCUUUGCCUUGCCCACCUCCCUUAACCAAUGACAAUUAUUCAUCUUGGUCUGUAAAGAUGAAGGCCCUGCUGCAGAAUCAGAGGCUUUUUGAUGUGAUUGAAAACCCCAUCCCUGCAGCACCAACCAGAGGUUGGGAAUCACAGAAUGUGAGGGCCAGGACUGCUAUAAUUCUGUGUGUCUCAGAUGAUCAGUUGGUGAAUGUUCAGCAUUUAGAAAAUGCGAAAGAGGUUUGGGACACGCUGCGUACAACGCAUCAGAGAGAUGCUGGUUCUUCUGCGUUGCUGUAUUUUGAGAAGUUAACCAAUCUGAGACUUGCGCCUGAUGGAGAUGUUCAAGCGCACCUGACAGAAAUGAAGUUUCUGCGUCAACAGAUGGUGGAACGCAAUUUCCGUCUUCAGGAGGAAGUGUUUUGCUUCAUGAUGAUAAACAGCCUUAAUCGCACCUACAAGGUUGUUGCCAGUCAGCUUGGUUCCCUACCUGCUCAAGACCUGACUUCGGAGAGAGUGUGUGCGGUGGUCCUGAAUGAACACGACAGACUUGCUGCACUGGAAGUGAAAGACAGGGGGAGGGUAGAACAGAGUUCUAAUUCCCCCACUGCUGAUGCUACUGGAGAGCAUGGAGUAGCAUUGAGUGCUGUCCGAUGCUACAACUGUGGACAGACUGGGCAUCUACAGCGAAACUGUAAGAAGCCGCGACAGUCAAGAGGAGCAAAGAGCAGCUCUACGAAGCCUGAGGCGUCAGGCAAAAGCCGUACCAAGUGCCAGGUGAAACCUGCAAAGGCUAUGAUGGCGAAAGGAACCACGCCAGAUGUUGGGAACUCGUUCAUAAUUGACACGGGCGCGACGGUCCAUAUGUGCCCGCACAGACAACUGUUUUCGACGUUGAAGAAGCAAAGCUUCGCUGUGAAACAGGCCAACGGUCAAGAGUUGGAAGCGACUGAAAUUGGAACUGUGUAUCUUGAGAGUCUGAACUUGACUAUAAGUGAUGUUUACCUGGUUCCAGAACUGAAAUUUAAUCUGCUGAGUGUGUCGCAGAUUGCAAAGAAAGGACUGAAACUGACCUAUGAUGCUAAAAGCUGCAAGAUCUACAAAGAUGGAGAACUGUUUCUUACUGCCAAAGAGAAAGAUGGACUGUAUUUGUUGACUUUUGAUCAAAGUGAUUACAUGAAAUGUAAUUCUUCUGAUUCUAACGAAAUCUUUCUUGCAGGUGUGACCAGUGUGAGCGCCAGGAAGGUGACCAAGAAGGUCGACAGAGCAUUUCAGCGGGUGUAUGCUGAUGUGAUUGGUCCUCUAGAACCAUCUAGGGGCAGUGCAAAAUAUUACCUUUUGUGUAUGGAUUGUUUCACUAAUUAUUCUUGGGUUUAUUUGAUGGAGAAACCGCAAGAAACUUUAGAAAAGUUUCAGGAAUUUUGUGACAAGGUUAAAAAUAUGCAUGAUGCUAACAUUGAUUGUCUUUUCACAGAUGACAAGCAAAUUUUUCUGUUACAGAAGUUUCAGAAGUUCCUGGAUGGAAAAGGGAUAGACCACAAAAUUGCUGUCUCGCCAGAAGCGUGGAACAGGGGGGUCUGUGUUAGAGUGAACAAAGAUUUGCAAAAGGGGAUGAAUGCGCAAUUGCUGAGUUCACAUUUGCCACAUGAUUAUUGGGCCGAAUCGCUAGCGUCCUAUCUUCAUGUGUGGUUGAGAAAAGUCUCAACAGAGUUGGGAUGUUCUCCUUUUGAGAAGCUGUUCAAUAGAAAACCUUCUGUUGCCUAUUUUAAGGUUUUCGGGUCUCAUGUGAGAACAGAAGCUCCAGGUGGAGUAAAGAAUGCCAAAGGCAUUUUUGUGGGAUAUGAAAAGGGUCUCUACAGAGUAAUUUUGUCUGAAUCUGGUCAGGUGAUUCUCACAAAGUUCCUAGAGAGUGCUCCAGAGCAAGAGCGGGUAGUACAGACAUUUCCCACAGGUGGCAAUUCAGAUGAUGAUGAUGAUGAUUUUUCUGAUGUCACAGAUUACAGUGGUACUGAUGGUGACAGUGACAGCUCAGAGAGUUCAGUUGUAACAAUCAUUGAGAGGAAAUCUCACACAAUGGAUAGACCUUCACAGGUGAAGGAAGAACCACUGAUUGCUACUGGUUCUCAACAAAGUCCAGAGGUUGAACCAGUGAGCACAGAGGAUCAGAACCUCAUACGCAGGUCUGAGAGAGUCACAAAGGGUGUACCACCAAAGAGGUACUCAAAAGAGUUUGCUAACUUAGCUGUUGCAUGUGUUGCUAUUGUUAACAACUCAAAGCAGGUUGAAGCAGUGUCUAAGUCAGAGACAAAGACACAACAGAGAGUAGCUAGCCAAGGUAAUGCAGAAGCACUCAUUCCUUGGAAGCCAGACAACCAGAGAGGUACACUGAUGAAACCAGUGGUGGGAAGUUCCAAGGGUGGAACUGAAACAACAGGGGAUUGU